GAUUCCGUAGCUCAGCUGGUAGAGCAUUACACUUUUAAUGUAGUGGUCCUGGGUUCGAAUCCCAGCGGAAUCACCA
rnacentral:tRNA from 1 species